CUCACUAGUCGAGUCGGCCUGCGCGGAAGAUGUAACGGGGCUCAAACCACACACCGAAGCUGCGGGUGUCACGUAAGUGACGCGGUAGAGGAGCGUUCUGUAAGCCUGUGAAGGUGAGUUGAGAAGCUUGCUGGAGGUAUCAGAAGUGCGAAUGCUGACAUGAGUAACGACAAUGGGUGUGAAAAACACCCACGCCGAAAGACCAAGGGUUCCUGCGCAACGUUAAUCGACGCAGGGUUAGUCGGUUCCUAAGGCGAGGCUGAAAAGCGUAGUCGAUGGGAAACAGGUUAAUAUUCCUGUACUUCUGGUUACUGCGAUGGAGGGACGGAGAAGGCUAGGCCAGCUUGGCGUUGGUUGUCCAAGUUUAAGGUGGUAGGCUGAAAUCUUAGGUAAAUCCGGGGUUUCAAGGCCGAGAGCUGAUGACGAGUCGUCUUUUAGAUGACGAAGUGGUUGAUGCCAUGCUUCCAAGAAAAGCUUCUAAGCUUCAGGUAACCAGGAACCGUACCCCAAACCGACACAGGUGGUCGGGUAGAGAAUACCAAGGCGCUUGAGAGAACUCGGGUGAAGGAACUAGGCAAAAUGGCACCGUAACUUCGGGAGAAGGUGCGCCGGCUAGGG
rnacentral:rRNA from 1 species